UGGGGAAUUUUGGACAAUGGGGGAAACCCUGAUCCAGCCAUCCCGCGUGUGCGAUGAAGGCCUUCGGGUUGUAAAGCACUUUUGGCAGGAAAGAAACGUCAUGGGUUAAUACCCCGUGAAACUGACGGUACCUGCAGAAUAAGCACCGGCUAACUACGUGCCAGCAGCCGCGGUAAUACGUAGGGUGCAAGCGUUAAUCGGAAUUACUGGGCGUAAAGCGUGCGCAGGCGGUUCGGAAAGGAAGAUGUGAAAUCCCAGAGCACAACUUUGGAACUUCAUUAUUAACUACCGGGAUGGAGUUUGUAAGAGGGAGGUGGAAUUCCGGGUGUGGGAGUGAAAUGCGUAGAUAGGCGGAGGAACACCGAUGGCGAAGGCAGCCUCCUGAGAUAACACUGACGCUAAUGCAUGAAAGCGUGGGGAGCAAACAGG
rnacentral:rRNA from 1 species